UACGGAGGGGGCGAGCGUUAUUCGGAAUUAUUGGGCGUAAAGGGCGCGUAGGCGGCUAGGUAAGUCAAAGGUGAAAUCCCUCGGCUCAACUGAGGAACUGCCUUUGAAACUGCCUAGCUUGAGGCCGGGAGGGGGUGGCGGAAUUCCCAGUGUAGCGGUGAAAUGCGUAGAUAUUGGGAGGAACACCAGUGGCGAAGGCGGCUUCCUGGACCGACACUGACGCUGAGGCGCGAAAGCUAGGGGAGCAAACGGG
rnacentral:rRNA from 1 species